CUUUUCAUUGAACGAGAGUCUGCCGAAGGAGUAGACCUCCCACCCUUGUGUAUUAUUACUUUGUUGCUUUGGCGAGCUGCUCUUCGGGGCCUUGUAUGCUCGCCAGAGAAUAUCAAAACUCUUUUUAUUAAUGUCGUCUGAGUACUAUAUAAUAGUUAAAACUUUCAACAACGGAUCUCUUGGUUCUGGCAUCGAUGAAGAACGCAGCGAAAUGCGAUAAGUAAUGUGAAUUGCAGAAUUCAGUGAAUCAUCGAAUCUUUGAACGCACAUUGCGCCCCUUGGUAUUCCGGGGGGCAUGCCUGUUCGAGCGUCAUUUCAACCCUCAAGCUCAGCUUGGUAUUGAGUCCAUGUCAGUAAUGGCAGGCUCUAAAAUCAGUGGCGGCGCCGCUGGGUCCUGAACGUAGUAAUAUCUCUCGUUACAGGUUCUCGGUGUGCUUCUGCCAAAACCCAAAUUUUCUAUGGUUGACCUCGGAUCAGGUAGGGAUACCCGCUGAACUUAAGCAUAUCAAUACCAAGAGGAAAGAAUCA
rnacentral:rRNA from 1 species